rnacentral:rRNA from 1 species
CCAAUAGCGUAUAUUAAAGUUGUUGCAGUUAAAAAGCUCGUAGUUGAAUUUCGGGAUCAAUAUGUCUGUCGUGCCUUCGGUACGUACGGGUAUAAUUGGUUUCUACCUUCUGAUGAACCUUGAUGCCAUUAAUUUGGUGUCUUGGGGACUCAGGACUGUUACCUUGAAAAAAUUAGAGUGUUUAAAGCAGGCAUACGCUUGAAUACAUUAGCAUGGAAUAAUGAAAUAGGACGUUCGAUUCUAUUUUGUUGGUUUCUAGGAUCGACGUAAUGAUUAAUAGGGAUAGUUUGGGGCAUUAGUAUUCAAUUGUCAGAGGUGAAAUUCUUGGAUUUAUUGAAGACUAACUACUGCGAAAGCAUUUGCCAAGGAUGUUUUCAUUAAUCAAGAACGAAAGUUAGGGGAUCGAAGACGAUCAGAUACCGUCGUAGUCUUAACCAUAAACUAUGCCGACUAGGGAUCGGAUGAUGUUAAUUUUUUAAUGACUCAUUCGGCGCCUUACG